CGGAUGAUGACUUCGGUCCAAAGAUUUAUCGCCCAAGGAUGAGCCCGCGUAAGAUUAGCUAGUUGGUGAGGUAAAGGCUCACCAAGGCGACGAUCUUUAGCUGGUCUGAGAGGAUGAUCAGCCACACUGGGACUGAGACACGGCCCAGACUCCUACGGGAGGCAGCAGUGGGGAAUAUUGGACAAUGGGCGAAAGCCUGAUCCAGCAAUGCCGCGUGAGUGAUGAAGGCCUUAGGGUUGUAAAGCUCUUUUACCAGGGAUGAUAAUGACAGUACCUGGAGAAUAAGCUCCGGCUAACUCCGUGCCAGCAGCCGCGGUAAUACGGAGGGAGCUAGCGUUGUUCGGAAUUACUGGGCGUAAAGCGCACGUAGGCGGCCAUUCAAGUCAGAGGUGAAAGCCCGGGGCUCAACCCCGGAACUGCCUUUGAAACUAGAUGGCUUGAAUCUUGGAGAGGCGAGUGGAAUUCCGAGUGUAGAGGUGAAAUUCGUAGAUAUUCGGAAGAACACCAGUGGCG
rnacentral:rRNA from 1 species